GUAGCUCAGUGGUAGAACAUCUGCUUUGCAUGCUGAAGGUCGCAGGUUCGGUCCCCAGUAUUUCCA